AGUGCACACCUUUACACACCCAGCGAACAACAGGGCGGGACCUCUCCUACCGCCUCUUCCAAACUCCACAGGAAUGAAUUCCGAUAAAGCUUUUUACUGACUCACAAUGAUGUCCUUCGAGAUGGACCUUAGCUUAUGGUGAAUGACAGAAGAACAGAAGAAGGUCCAAUUGCAGCUCAGCUUGGGAACAAGGCUCCCCAAACACUGUGUUAACAAUCUAAAAAGAAGAAAAAUUAUGAGUGCCAACAGUACAGUUUAUAAUAAAAAGAAAUAAUUUUUGUUGUCGUGAAAUAUACUUACAAAAGUGGAAACGUUACACUCCCAAACUACUGAAGAACUACUGAAAAACAACUAAAAAAUGCUGUAGAUUUUAGGAAAGAAUCUAGAAUAGUAUGGAUACCAUGAACUUAAAUUGCAGGUAAGGCCAUAAGACAGAUUUGCAACUAAUUAUUUUAUUGCUAAAUAUUGGUGGGACUAUUGCAGUUAGAUUGAUAUAGCAAUGACCUCAUUCAUCUGUAACCAUUCUAUAAGGGGGACUUCGCUCAACAUUUGGGUAGGGUCUAGGGUGAAUGCUUGCUUAAGCAUCUGUAAGCUGAGGUCUGCCUGUCAAUGCUACAUAAUACUCAACAAAAACAUUUCCUAUAGAUUAAUACAGAAGCUGCACAUAAUGAUUCUGCUUGGGGGAUCCGAGAUGAGUAAGUUUCAUUACUUUUUCCCACUUUCUUACAUUAUACAUCGGAACUAGGAGUAUGUGAUGUUAUUCUCAAGAAGCUGCAGAUAAUGACUCUGUCUGGGGGAUCUGGAAAGAGUAACUUUCAGUGCUUUUUCCCACUGGCUUACAUUAAAAAUUGGAACUGGGGUAAAAAUUGAGGGGGGGGGGGGGGUGAUUCUAACACCUUUGGUUUAGUUUAGAAAGCAGUGACGUGAGCAUGUGAUGCUAUUCUCAAAACUCAAGUUUGAAGUCUAAAGAAACCCAGGUCUAAUUCAAUUUAUUAAAACUUCAUACAACUAUCACAAGAUGCAACAGAUAGAAAAAGAUGAGAAUAUUUUUCAUAGAACGACAGCAUUACAUGUUACUUAGAAAUUCUCUUUCUCUCCUUGGUAAUGCAGUCAUACAAAAAGCAAUUCAUGACCGUGAUUGUAGAUCUCAGAAUUUCAAGUAUUCACAAUCAAUGAGCUGACUCAUUAAAAUUUGAUCUUAUUAUUUUACUUUUUCUUCCAAGAAACAGGAUCAUCGUGCAAUGCAUUUAAUAAGGUCAAAGAAUUCCAGAGAGAAUCUUUAGAAAGAGCUUAGAAGCUUCUCACACAGUUCUUCGGUGCUGUAAAUGUGGCUACAAUAAGUAACUGAUGCUAAAGGUCAAUUUAAAAAGGCUAAACCAUUUGAGAAUUGCAAAUACUUGUUAAUCUGUACUAAACCAUUGGGGAGGAUGGGUUUAAAACAAGAUAAUGAGAAGUCACAAUGCAUAAUAGUAGUACAAAUCACACCACCACUGCCUGGGUUUAGGAUCUGUGUAUUUAAAAGUAGUUAAUGGAACCCAGGAUAAUACCCUAUUCUAACGUUUGUUUCAUGUGGCAAUUGUGGCGUGAAACAAAAUGAAAUAUUUUUUUGUAUUAUUAAUAUAUAUUAAUAUGUAUAACUUCUGUAUGUAAAUCAAAACUAUUUGUAAGGUUUAACAGAAGAACAAAAUAUUUCUAUAUGAAAAGCAACCCUCUUUUCUACUUGUUAAUUUACAAACCGAUUGUAACCACCACUAUAUAAGUAUUUAUGUUUGCUAGAAUUCUGCCUUCACUCAGUUUAAAUCCUGUUGGGAAUAAGUGGGAGCAGGUGUAAGGAUUCUCUCUCACUGGGGCUGUGACAGUAAAGAAAGCAUACGCAUGAGCUCACAGUCUCCUGACUUGAUUUAAGUGAUAGUAGUUUCAUCAUGAAGAAUGUAUCUGCCCAUGCAUUGGCUUUCCCGUGGCAGGCCUGAAGGAAAUUUAAUAAUGUGUUCACCAAACUGUUCUCUUUUAUGAUUAUGUUCUGGUAUAAUGCUAAGGACCUGUAAAUGUCAUAGUACUUUAACCCUAGGCAAUGAAAAUUAAUAUUAGGAAGUCUGACAGGACCGUAGCUCAACAGAACAAAAGAGAAGGAAUUUUAUAGUAUAAAAAGUAAUACAAAGAGAAAGGCAGUUGAACAGUGAGAUUAUUAUUUUUAUUAUUAACAUCCCCACAGUGCUGUACAAAAAAUGAGUUUCUGCAUUGGACAUGCAGAAUUACAACCAAUAACUGAUACAAGAGGUGAAGAAGGCUGUUCUUUUUUGUCUUGUAGCAGAUAAAAGGGAUUCAAUAUUGCAUAUUAAUCCAUAAAAGAACUUGGAUGCUGAUACUUAUUGCACACUAGUAUUGUACACUAGUUAAUGGACAAAGUCAAGGGGAAAGUGUUUUUACCUUGUUUUACAUGGAAUAGUGUAGAUCUGCUCAUAGGGUAAGUAAUUCCAAAAUGAUCAGCAUUGUGCAGGAUUUAUUUAAUUUCUUAUUCAUUUAUGUUCUAAAGAAGCAUACAUGGUAGCUGAUCUUUAUGACCAGUAUUCCAGCAGCAUUCUCAUGGUCAAGGUUGGCUUUAUAAUAACAGACUGUAUGCCGUGUUUAACUAUAAAUCUAUCCACAGCUGCAUGCGCAUUUCCCCUGUUGGCCAAUAACGUAACUUUUAGUGCUGGGGCCAAGGUGCAGACUGAGCAACUGCCCCCCCCAGACACAGUUUCACCAUGGAUUUACAACUAUCACCUAAAGGGGGUUCUGCUACAGGGCCUUGAGUAAUAAAAUUGUCAGUCUAAUUUUUGAAGGCAUAGUCUUACAUGCCCGAUUAUUAAUAGACCAUGGGGGUGAUAAGCCCCAUGGUCUAUUAAUAAUAGGGCAUGUAAGACAACUACUGUGCACAUCUUUAGUAUAUUUUAGAUAUGGAUGACACCAGCAAUAACCACAUGCAGUAGGAGAGGCAAAUAGCAUACGAUUGAUUCUGACUGCGAACAAGAGUUACAUCUGACAACCUCUUACCAAUGUUCUUGUUUUAUUCCUGUGAAAUGAAAUAAAUCUUUGCACAUUA